GACGUAGGAGGCGAGCGUUGUCCGGAAUUAUUGGGCGUAAAGAGCUUGUAGGCGGUUUGUCGCGUCUGCUGUGAAAUUUCGGGGCUCAACCCCGAACUUGCAGUGGGUACGGGCAGACUAGAGUGUGGUAGGGGAGACUGGAAUUCCUGGUGUAGCGGUGAAAUGCGCAGAUAUCAGGAGGAACACCGAUGGCGAAGGCAGGUCUCUGGGCCAUAACUGACGCUGAGAAGCGAAAGCAUGGGGAGCGAACAGG
rnacentral:rRNA from 1 species